GUGUUUCUUUCCCCAAACAACGUGAGUGUAAAGACGUCUGCUGUAAAGUUUUCAGUGAAUGUGUUUAAGUAAGCACUGCCGGUGGGUGACCUUUGUUUGUGUAACUUGCUUGUGUAACAUGAAUGUCAGCGGGCUGUAACGAGUAGCUUCCUCAGAGUCAGGUAGGUGCCGUAUUGCUAGUUAGCUGAAAGCUACCGGUGGCGUUGGAAAUGUUUUCCAGAGUGAUUUUUGCGACGAGUCUGGUCAGAUUUAACACUGGUGCCAACUCCAGAGCGGCUAUAAGAGCACUGACUCCUCUGUGCAAACAUCAGCAUCGGUCCUACAGCUCUGAGUCUGCUGGUGUCAGGGUGCUGUAUGAUGGUCUUUGUCCUAUAUGUGUGACAGAGAUCCGGUUACUUCAGUUUCUGCAGAGAAGCCGGUCUGGAAAAGUACAAUUUAUCGAUAUCUCCCUGCCAGACUAUGAUGGAGCAAGAUACAAGGAUGUAACCUAUGAGAUGGCCAUGGAGGAAAUGCAUGUGAUUGAUGAGAAAGAUGAGGUUCACAAAGGGGUUCCUGCAUUUGCCGUCAUGUAUGGAGCAGUGGGCCUCGGCUGGUUGGGUUGCUUCAUGAUGUGGUCCCCUGUCAGGCCAUUAAUGGACAAAUCUUACGCCAUUUUUGCCAGGAACCGCCUGAAGUGGACUGGGCGUGGGGAGGAGUGUGCAACAGGACGCUGUGAAAAGAAAACACAGUGACUCUUAAGCCACCGAAAGAUUACGUAUGUUUAAUAAAUAAAGGGAUUAGGUUGUCUGUUUACUCA
rnacentral:lncRNA from 1 species